GGCCGCAGCCAUCUUGCCCGUGCGUCCGUGGCACGGAACGGCCGUUAGUCCCGGCAGAGGGCUCCGCGAAGACAGUGCCGUCGUUGGGCGCGCGCGCGGGCGGGAGCUGUCGGGGCGGGGCGGCACCGCCGAGCUCCGAGCUUUCCAGAAGCAAAAACAAAAAAAGUUCGGGUACAGCGGCUCACACCUGUAAUCCCAGCUCUUAGGGAGAUGGAAACUGGAGGAUCACUUGAGGCCAGGAGUUCAAGACCAGCCUGGGCAACAUAGCAAGACCCAGUCUCUUAAAAGAAAAUUAAAAAGAAAGAGUAAAUAAAGUUCCAGAAGCUUUGCUCUCCU
rnacentral:lncRNA from 1 species